UUCACAGCUGAAUAACGAUCAAAGAAGAAAAAUAGAUAUAUUGACAUAUUGAUUGGACUUUAUGCUAAAUGCUAACAGGCAAAAAUACAAAAAUACUUUGUGUUUAAACUUCAAGUAUCUACGAACAACGACGUCUCCACAAACCUCCGAGCACUUAGGACAAGUCCGGUCCUUUAUAAAACCAACCGGAUUCACUUGGAUUAAACUGGAUUCAAUUGGACUAAACUGGAUUAAACCAGAUUAAACCUGAUUCAGGUUUAUCGUCAACUGGACUUCCCUGGAUCACAUUGGACUAAACUGGAUUAGGAGAAUUCUUUGGGAAUGGUUUGGACUGGAUGUCUGUAAACAGGGACAGGAAGUGGAGUUUAAGCUCAGACGGUCAAAAACAUAAAUAAAUACAGGUCUGAAGUCAAUUGAACUGGGUUUAACCUGCAGCUGUUUGAAGAUCACUGUGAUUUUAAACGUCUGUCUGAGCUGAAGAGGAUUGAAACAGAUCAGGACUGAAAUCUGGAAUCAAACAGUUUCAUCUGAACACAACACCUCUGUCUCUCAGAAAUUAUGUUCAUAUGCUAAUUAAUUGUAAGUACAGUUAUGUUUUGUUAUAAACAUACUUCACUACUUCACAUCUUGACUGUUUUUAGGUUUAUACAUAAAUGAUAUUUUGGUUCAGGUUAGGAAAAGACCCUGGAUCCAUAACAUGUUUGGUAAUGAAUGAAUGUAAUAAAUACUUUCAUUCAUUAUUAACAAAUAUGGAUUGAAAUAGAUGAAACAGAUCCUAGUUUGUUUUAAAUAUUAGUAAAUACAUUCAUUCAAACUGAACCAUAAACAACUCAAAAUCAGAUAAUAAAAUAAAUCCAGUUCCAAUGUGUUUUGAACUACAUUCUGUGAACAACAUACGAUCUGGAGAAACUUUUUAACCACUUUGACUGUCAAUAAUAAAAUGUAUUGUGAGUUACUGAGAGUCAUUUCUGUGAGACAGAGUCGGACCAUGUUGAGUUUGAUGGAUUGUUCAUUGACAGGAGACUCAGCAGAACAAACAUCUUCAUUUGGUAAAACCCUUUUUUUUUAUAAGAACAGAUGCACAUUGCUUUUACAGAGAAAGAAACAAUUA